rnacentral:tRNA from 3 species
CGGGGUGUAGCGCAGCCUGGUAGCGUGCUUGCAUGGGGUGCAAGUGGUCGUGAGUUCGAAUCCCACCGUCCCGACCA